UAACAGGAAAUUUAAGGGCGUACGGUGGAUGCCUUGACUAAAAGUGGCGAUGAAGGACGUGGCGUAACUGCGAUAAGCGACGGUGAGGUGUGUAGCAACCUUUGACCCGUCGAUUUCCGAAUGGGGAAACCCCGUCGAGUAUACCUCGAUGACCCCGCACAUAACUUACUAAAUAACUUUAAAAAUUAAAUGAGUUUUAUUUUUCACAACAUUCGUUAAAAGAAAAAAGUUGUUUAUUGAGUUAUGUGCGGGGAGCGUACCCUGGGAAGUGAAACAUCUCAGUACCAGGAGGAGUAGAAACAAAUAUGUAUUUCCUAAGUAGUGGCGAGCGAAAAGGAAGAAGCCCAAACCGAAGUAGCAAUACUUCGGGGUUGUAAGGUAACAAUUUUUAUUUAAUUAGAGAGGAGUCAAAAAAUAAGUUAUUAGUUGAAAUUGCUGGAAAGCGAUACCGUAGAGGGUGAUAGUCCCGUAAACGAAAAUAAUUUAUCUCUUUUGUUGUUAUUCUUGAGUACUUCAGGACACGAGUGGCCGGGAGGAAUCUAGCGGAACUAACCGCUAAGGCUAAAUACACUUUUAGAUCGAUAGUGAACUAGUACCGUGAGGGAAAGGUGAAAAGUAGCCCGAUUAGGGCGGUGAAAUAGACCUGAAACCGUAUGUCUACAAGGAGUUGAAGUUCGGCUUCGGCUGAACGACAGCGUGCCUAUUGAAGAAUGAGCCAACGAGUUUAUUCAUGUUGCUGGCUAAGGGGGCUAAAACCCCAGAGCCAUAGGGAAACCGAGUGUUAAUAGCGCGCCAUUAUAGUAACAUGCAUAAGACCCGAAGCCAGGUGAGCUUGCCAUGAGCAGGAUGAAGUUCUCCGAAAGGAGGAUGGAGGUCCGAACCGGUAGAUCGUACAACGUCUUCGGAUGACUUGUGGUAAGGAGUGAAAAGCUAAUCGAACCUAGUAAUAGCUGGUUCUCUCCGAAAUAGCUUUAGGGCUAGCGUCGUGUGUUUCUUUUGGGGGUAGAGCACUGGAAGGUUCGGACAGGUCGCAAGAUCGCUGAACCUAUCAAACUCCGAAUACCAGAAGUACACCCGCACACUUACUUUGGAAUUGUGUUUUUGUUGCAUCGUAAAAUAUAUAAUCAGAAAUUAUCUUUUCUUUUUAUGUAAAUUAUAUUGCGAUAAAAAUUUAAAACACAAUGCAACGAUUCCAAAGUAAGUGUGCGGGUAGAUAGCGCGGCAGUUAGGCUAUGGGGGCGAAGCUCCAUUAGCCAAAAGGGAAACAGCCCAGAUCUCAAUAUAAGGUCCCUAAAUUCAUGCUAAGUGUAAGACAAGAAGGUGAGAUUUCUUAAACAAUGAGGAGGUUGGCUUAGAAGCAGCCAUCCUUUAAAGAUAGCGUAACAGCUCACUCAUCUAGAGAUUUUGCGUCGAAAAUAAUUGGGGCUAAGUAUAUUACCGAAUUUGAGGGUGCGAGCGUAGCUCGCAGAAUUUAAAUGUUUCAAUAUUUAAAUAUUUAAAUAUUGCGAGCUUCGCUCGCGCGGUAGGAGAG
rnacentral:rRNA from 1 species